GGUUAAGCGACUAAGCGUACACGGUGGAUGCCCUGGCAGUCAGAGGCGAUGAAGGACGUGCUAAUCUGCGAUAAGCGUCGGUAAGGUGAUAUGAACCGUUAUAACCGGCGAUUUCCGAAUGGGGAAACCCAGUGUGAUUAGUCACACUAUCAUUAACUGAAUCCAUAGGUUAAUGAGGCGAACCGGGGGAACUGAAACAUCUAAGUACCCCGAGGAAAAGAAAUCAACCGAGAUUCCCCCAGUAGCGGCGAGCGAACGGGGAGCAGCCCAGAGCCUGAAUCAGUGUGUGUGUUAGUGGAAGCGUCUGGAAAGGCGUGCGAUACAGGGUGACAGCCCCGUACACAAAAAUGCACAUGCUGUGAGCUCGAUGAGUAGGGCGGGACACGUGGUAUCCUGUCUGAAUAUGGGGGGACCAUCCUCCAAGGCUAAAUACUCCUGACUGACCGAUAGUGAACCAGUACCGUGAGGGAAAGGCGAAAAGAACCCCGGCGAGGGGAGUGAAAAAGAACCUGAAACCGUGUACGUACAAGCAGUGGGAGCACGCUUAGGCGUGUGACUGCGUACCUUUUGUAUAAUGGGUCAGCGACUUAUAUUCUGUAGCAAGGUUAACCGAAUAGGGGAGCCGAAGGGAAACCGAGUCUUAACUGGGCGUUAAGUUGCAGGGUAUAGACCCGAAACCCGGUGAUCUAGCCAUGGGCAGGUUGAAGGUUGGGUAACACUAACUGGAGGACCGAACCGACUAAUGUUGAAAAAUUAGCGGAUGACUUGUGGCUGGGGGUGAAAGGCCAAUCAAACCGGGAGAUAGCUGGUUCUCCCCGAAAGCUAUUUAGGUAGCGCCUCGUGAAUUCAUCUCCGGGGGUAGAGCACUGUUUCGGCAAGGGGGUCAUCCCGACUUACCAACCCGAUGCAAACUGCGAAUACCGGAGAAUGUUAUCACGGGAGACACACGGCGGGUGCUAACGUCCGUCGUGAAGAGGGAAACAACCCAGACCGCCAGCUAAGGUCCCAAAGUCAUGGUUAAGUGGGAAACGAUGUGGGAAGGCCCAGACAGCCAGGAUGUUGGCUUAGAAGCAGCCAUCAUUUAAAGAAAGCGUAAUAGCUCACUGGUCGAGUCGGCCUGCGCGGAAGAUGUAACGGGGCUAAACCAUGCACCGAAGCUGCGGCAGCGACGCUUAUGCGUUGUUGGGUAGGGGAGCGUUCUGUAAGCCUGCGAAGGUGUGCUGUGAGGCAUGCUGGAGGUAUCAGAAGUGCGAAUGCUGACAUAAGUAACGAUAAAGCGGGUGAAAAGCCCGCUCGCCGGAAGACCAAGGGUUCCUGUCCAACGUUAAUCGGGGCAGGGUGAGUCGACCCCUAAGGCGAGGCCGAAAGGCGUAGUCGAUGGGAAACAGGUUAAUAUUCCUGUACUUGGUGUUACUGCGAAGGGGGGACGGAGAAGGCUAUGUUGGCCGGGCGACGGUUGUCCCGGUUUAAGCGUGUAGGCUGGUUUUCCAGGCAAAUCCGGAAAAUCAAGGCUGAGGCGUGAUGACGAGGCACUACGGUGCUGAAGCAACAAAUGCCCUGCUUCCAGGAAAAGCCUCUAAGCAUCAGGUAACAUCAAAUCGUACCCCAAACCGACACAGGUGGUCAGGUAGAGAAUACCAAGGCGCUUGAGAGAACUCGGGUGAAGGAACUAGGCAAAAUGGUGCCGUAACUUCGGGAGAAGGCACGCUGAUAUGUAGGUGAAGUCCCUCGCGGAUGGAGCUGAAAUCAGUCGAAGAUACCAGCUGGCUGCAACUGUUUAUUAAAAACACAGCACUGUGCAAACACGAAAGUGGACGUAUACGGUGUGACGCCUGCCCGGUGCCGGAAGGUUAAUUGAUGGGGUUAGCGCAAGCGAAGCUCUUGAUCGAAGCCCCGGUAAACGGCGGCCGUAACUAUAACGGUCCUAAGGUAGCGAAAUUCCUUGUCGGGUAAGUUCCGACCUGCACGAAUGGCGUAAUGAUGGCCAGGCUGUCUCCACCCGAGACUCAGUGAAAUUGAACUCGCUGUGAAGAUGCAGUGUACCCGCGGCAAGACGGAAAGACCCCGUGAACCUUUACUAUAGCUUGACACUGAACAUUGAGCCUUGAUGUGUAGGAUAGGUGGGAGGCUUUGAAGUGUGGACGCCAGUCUGCAUGGAGCCGACCUUGAAAUACCACCCUUUAAUGUUUGAUGUUCUAACGUGGACCCGUAAUCCGGGUUGCGGACAGUGUCUGGUGGGUAGUUUGACUGGGGCGGUCUCCUCCUAAAGAGUAACGGAGGAGCACGAAGGUUGGCUAAUCCUGGUCGGACAUCAGGAGGUUAGUGCAAUGGCAUAAGCCAGCUUGACUGCGAGCGUGACGGCGCGAGCAGGUGCGAAAGCAGGUCAUAGUGAUCCGGUGGUUCUGAAUGGAAGGGCCAUCGCUCAACGGAUAAAAGGUACUCCGGGGAUAACAGGCUGAUACCGCCCAAGAGUUCAUAUCGACGGCGGUGUUUGGCACCUCGAUGUCGGCUCAUCACAUCCUGGGGCUGAAGUAGGUCCCAAGGGUAUGGCUGUUCGCCAUUUAAAGUGGUACGCGAGCUGGGUUUAGAACGUCGUGAGACAGUUCGGUCCCUAUCUGCCGUGGGCGCUGGAGAAUUGAGGGGGGCUGCUCCUAGUACGAGAGGACCGGAGUGGACGCAUCACUGGUGUUCGGGUUGUCAUGCCAAUGGCACUGCCCGGUAGCUAAAUGCGGAAGAGAUAAGUGCUGAAAGCAUCUAAGCACGAAACUUGCCCCGAGAUGAGUUCUCCCUGACUCCUUGAGAGUCCUGAAGGAACGUUGAAGACGACGACGUUGAUAGGCCGGGUGUGUAAGCGCAGCGAUGCGUUGAGCUAACCGGUACUAAUGAACCGUGAGGCUUAACCUU
rnacentral:rRNA from 1 species